rnacentral:rRNA from 1 species
AACGAACGCUGGCGGCAGGCCUAACACAUGCAAGUCGAGCGAGAGCUUCGGGUCUAGCGGCGGACGGGUGAGUAACGCGGGGGGAUAUGCCCUUCUCUCUGGAAUAGCCUCGGGAAACUGAGCGUAAUACCGCAUACGCCCUUUGGGGGAAAGAUUUAACGGAGGAGGAUUAGCCCCCGUUGGAUUAGGUAGUUGGUGGGGUAACGGCCUACCAAUCCGACGAUCCAUAGCUGGUUUGAGAGGAUGAUCAGCCACACUGGGACUGAGACACGGCCCAGACUCCUACGGGAAGCAGCAGUGGGGAAUCUUAGACAAUGGGGGCAACCCUGAUCGAGCCAUGCCGCGUGAGUGAUGAAGGCCUUAGGGUUGUAAAGCUCUUUCAGCUGGGAAGAUAAUGACGGUACCAGCAGAAGAAGCCCCGGCUAACUCCGUG